UACGAAGGGGGCUAGCGUUGUUCGGAAUUACUGGGCGUAAAGGGUGCGUAGGCGGGUCUUUAAGUCAGGGGUGAAAUCCUGGAGCUCAACUCCAGAACUGCCUUUGAUACUGAAGAUCUUGAGUUCGGGAGAGGUGAGUGGAACUGCGAGUGUAGAGGUGAAAUUCGUAGAUAUUCGCAAGAACACCAGUGGCGAAGGCGGCUCACUGGCCCGGUACUGACGCUGAGGUGCGAAAGCGUGGGGAGCAAACAGG
rnacentral:rRNA from 1 species